GUCAAAUAUUGGAUUGAUAAAUUCUAAUAAUUUUAGAUUGUCAAUCUUAGGAAGAUGGUCUAAAAUAAAUUUAAUAUUUUAUUAUCAAUUUUUAAAAAAUAUUUCAUAAUUUUAUUUUUUAUCAAUUUUAUCUUUCCAAUAUUAAGAAGAUAAUUCAUAAAUCCAUUGACAAACCCUUGUUUGCUAAAAAUUUCUCUUAUUUGUUCUUCUAAAAUGC
rnacentral:lncRNA from 1 species